CCUCCAGCAAGAUAUGUAUUAGAGGCACCGCCUGCCCAAUGAAGCUUGCCUUUUAAUGGCCGCAGUAUAUUGACUGUGCAAAGGUAGCAUAAUCACUUGUCCCCUAAAUAGGGACUGGUAUGAAUGGCAUAACGAGGGCUCUUCUGUCUCUUGUACCAAGUCAAUGAAAUUAACAACCCGGUUAAAAGGCCGAGAUAAAUAAAUAAGACGAGAAGACCCCAUGGAACUUUAAACACGCCUUCCACUAAAUAUUAUUUUCUAAUACUAUAAGAAUAUUUUCGCUGAUAUGCUGUUUUUGGUUGGGGCAACCACGGAGAACAACCAUCCUCCGAGAAUACCAAUUGAGUUAAACAUGACAAAAUCUUCUUUAACAUUAGCAACUGACCCAAUAUAAUUGAUAAACGAACCAAGCUACCCUGGGGAUAACAGCGCAAUCUUUUCUAAAAGUCCAUAUUGACGAGAGGGUUUACGACCUCGAUGUUGGAUCAGGAUAUCCAGACAGUGCAGCCGCCGUCAAAGGUUUGUUUGUUCAACAAUUAAAAUCCUACGUGAUCUGG
rnacentral:rRNA from 1 species